CCCUCCCUCCCUCCUUUUUUUUUCUUUUUUUUUUAAAUUCUCUUACUGGUCCUAAGUGAUAGACAUAUUUCCAGAGCCGGAUAGCCCUUUGGGAUUUCUCAGUGGGUCUGUAUGUGAUGGGUUUGGUGGUCUUGUUGAGGGUAGGAGGUGACAACUUUCCCAAGAGUGGGCAAGGAGAUCCUCCAUUACAGUCCCCUGGAUAGGCGCUCCAUUGGAGGCUGGAUGCCUGAAUACUCUUUCUCUUCUGAGGUCUGUGUGGAUGGUGGUCCACCUCACCUGCCCUCACCUGAAGGCCGCUCCUUUCCUUGGGGACCACGUCAGAGCUUAUUCUUUUCCCUUCAUCUUCCUCACUUCCUCUGAAAUGAAUUCUCCUCCCCCACAUCUUCAUUCUGCCCCCUUAGCACUUCAUUUUGGGAGCCCAGAGUUCUAGGGGUUUCCUGCAGCCUUAUACUAAAGACAUGUGAUCCCUUGCCCCACCUACCAUGCCUCCUCCAUUGCAAUGGUAUCGUGGUCAAACUAUUACCCUUUUCUCUCUGGCACCCUUGACGCAGUUUAGGGUGAAGAACAAACAAUUUAAGUUUGUGGAAUGAGGGACAUUCUGGCCCUGAGCUUGUUCCAGACUUUUUUCCAGAUGCCUCUUUUAAUUCUUACAUUUUCUAGCCACUGAUUUUAGUGUAGGCAUUUGCCACCAGAGUACUUCUUCUACCUAAGGACCACCUAGAAUGACUCAUUUAGAAUCUCUGGGAGGUAUGUCUCUUGGGCCUGAAGGCCAAAUGGGGGCAAGGAGAUAUGCCUGGGGUCACAGCAGAGUGGAGCAGAGCAGGCCGAAGGAACAAACUGUAUAUACCCACAGUGCUCUCAAAGGUAUCCGAAGCCUCUAGCUUUUGUGUCUGAGUAGAGAGCAUCUUGAGUAGAAAGGCAGCAUAAGUGUAGGAACUGGGAACUUGGGGGUCAUACCUCUUAGUUCUGAGCUAUGCGUAUGAUGCAAACCUGACUGACGUGCUUCAGAGAACCCUGUUGUCUGUCCAUCACUGGACAAAGUGGUUAGGUACCCCUGGAUCAGUUGUUGUGCCCACAGGUACUGGUCCUUCUCCACACUGCUCUGCCCAGGGUUAUCUUGCAUCUGCCGCAGCUGAGGACUUUUGUCCCAGGGGCUGCAUAGAAACUCCAGUCACAGAUCAUUGAUUGGUUGGUUUUGUGAGCAGAGCCCAGUUGAUCUACCUUCCUUUCUCUUCCCAGCAGAGAACUCAAAGAGCACAGCUCUAUCUGUAAGUAGGUGACAACCUCUUGGCAACUCGGGCUCAGCUAAGGAUGAUGUGUGUGUGUCUAAGCAAUAAUACUGCUGGUUAGAGCGGUCGGCUUGUGUUUUUAUGGAACAGAAAAGAGGAGCUGCUUGACCACUCUGCUUUCUUUCAGUAGGUGCUGAUAGAUAAAAGGUCAUGCUGGAUGAAGUUGCCAAGGUGGGAUGGCCAGGGUGCCAUGUUCAGAAAAGGAAAGACUUGGGCACUCAGUAUGGCCAAAGGUGGUUAUGCCCUACAUGAAAUACCAGCUCCCAGUGUCUCCGUUUCCUGCUUGACUUGCCCUGCUCAAGAAUGUCUUUUGACCUUUCUUCACUCUUUUGGAUCUUUUACUCUCUGUGCUUGUCUACACCCCUCUUCUUCCCUUUGAUUUUUUUUCCCUUAGGAUGAAUGAGGACAUGCUCAGCUACUGGCCCAAGAGCCAUAUCUGUUCUUUCUGUUUUUAUAUCUUAACCUUCAUUUAGCAAGGCAGGGAGAGGAAGUUGUCCUGGGAAGGGGGUGGGUGGUGAAUAAGCCCCAUGGUGUUGGGUGGUGGAGCAUGGUAAGUUAGAUUGUCUUUUCUUUCUUUAGGUAAUCUUGAGCCACCAAUUUGUGUGGUUCCAUGACCUCAGGUGUGGUCUGAUGCAGCAUGGACCUAGUCUUGUUGCUGGAUUAAUAUCAGGCUGCUGAUUAGAAACUAGAAGCAACAAAGGAAAGGCUUGAGCCUGCCUCCCAUGUAGUUGGAGUGUGGCUGCUCCCUGGAUCUGUUCCCUCAAACUUUACCAUUCAGAACCCCCAACAAUUGUUCUUUUCUUUCCAUUCUUCCAUUCCUAGUUUUUCUGUGAAUGAAAUGAGUAACUGGCAGAAUGCUGGCAUAAGGUCAGCCUGCUCAACUAGCUAGGCUAUGAGAUGUUUGGGAGAUAUCUGGGCAGCAGCUAUAGUCAGGGGAAGGAAGCUUCUCAUCUGCUGAACCAUAGAAUACUGGGUAUCAUUCCCCUUACAAUCCUUAUGGUCCUGGGAGCUGCCCGGGGCUCAGGCAUGUUCUUUCCUGUGCAGUGUGGGUAUUUGCCUUACUCUGGACACACUGAGCCUUCAAGGGGCUUAGGCGAGGUCUGGGGUCUAAAGUUUAGACUGGGCUGACUGGAUUCUGGAUUUUUUUUUCCACUUGGGAUUUUCCUUUGAAUGAAUCAUUUCCUUCUUUAGGCCUUCAAUUGUCUUCAAAAUAUCUCCAGGCACUUGACAGGGAAAAACUUUUCCUCUGCCUUACAGUAACAGCAGUAUUGUGUUAAAGCGAUGGUCUCCCUCACAACUGGGAAGACAGCUCCAUUGCAGACACAAACCAGAAAGCAGACAGCAGGUACUGUCUGCGAUAUUCAGAAUUCCCUGUCUGUCAUUGCUGGCAGUGUUCUUGGCCCCUAGGGCUAGUGGGAACUAACAGUCCAAUGUCUAGGGUCUAAGGAAAAAAGGAAUAAUCCUGGAUGAUUCUACUAGGUAUCUGUGGAAUCUUAACCCCAGCCAGUCCAUGCAGCUUCCCUACUGGCAUUGUGUAGAUGUGUUUCAUCUUCCAUGCCCCUCCCACCACUGUCCAAAGAAGAUUAAUGAAUCCCAUCUCACGUUUGUCUUGUCUCUCCCUUUGGGACAAGCUUCUGAGAUCCCUGCCAAGAAGAGUCAAUUUGGAUGAGUUAUCUGUUAUUAACAAGUUCAGUUACUGCCUCAGUGGUGUGUGAGGGACAGUUGGGGUAGGGGAGAGGAAGGGCUGAGGUUUGAACAAAGAGGUAAGUUCGCUUUACAGCUGAGAGGUGGAAAGGAAUAAACCUGUUUCUUCAAGAUGAACCCCACUGGAAGCCAGAUGUGCUGCUAGCUGCACUUCAGAACCUUAGGUCUUGUGCCCAACUCUGGUGACCUCUGCUACCAUUCACAGCCCUUCCUUUGCCUGAUUGGGAAAGUGAGUGGAGAGCAAAGAGGAUCUUGGCUUUGCCACAUAGCUGUCCCUGUGAAUUAGGGCUGUACCACCCUGCCCAUUUCCCUUUUUCAGACCCUCAACUAAUGCUUUGCUUCCAGUCACUAACCUGGCUUCUGCUGUGUGACAUGCAGCGCUAUGUGUUACCAGCCAAGCAGGCAGGACAGUUAGCAUUCCUUGUAGGAUCUAAGCAUGCCUGACACUUUUUCCUUGGCCUCUGAGUCUGUGAGUUCUGGAAGAGAGCUAUGGUAUUGAAGCUGAGAUGACAUGCUGACCAUAGUAAAAUGCAUGGUGCCCUACCCAGAGACCUGAUUGGUCCAUACCAUCUGGGUUCCACUAUAUCCUCUUCUUACUGGGGCUAUGAAUUGUUCAGUGCAUAUCUUGGAUCUAUCCACUGACUUAGGUGGGUCCCCAAAGCUGCAGAUUUAGAGGAUAUGAACUCUCACAGGUGGCUUUUCUAUAUGUAUGGCCCGCCUCUGGGAUAAGUAAGAGAUACUGUCUGUUUAAUGAGCCUGCCAUCUACAGGAGGACCUUGCUUUCCUUCAUUUCCCUGGUCAGUGACCGUGAGGAAAGCAUACACUGGGUUUGGUUCCUUUCUGGCUCUUUCCAAAUGCUUAUGGAUUGAUAAGCAAGAAAAUACUCUUGAGGCCCUGUGGUAUGUACGGAGCCUCAUGCUGUAGAGUCAAGCCUAUGUGGGUAGAGUACAGGAAUAGGAUGAAAGAAACCACACAGGGUCAUGGUUGUUUGUGGUUGGAUAAUUGGGACAAGUCACAAGGGUGAGGGCAGACACAUCCAAAUGUCUAGACUCGAGGCAGGGUGGAGUCAGGAUGAGUCUAUAAUGAAGCAAGGAGAUGGCAUCAGAUAUCUUGGUCUCCAUAUGCCAUCCAUGGAAAAGAACGCUGUCUUCCCACUCUUGGUAACAGAUACUGUUUCCCUUUUAUUGUUAGUGAAAGUGUAAUUAUUAAAUGACAUAAGUCAAAGUCAUGCAAUUGAUGAGUGAUGUUGAGAUUUGCUUCAGCAUGUUUGAUCCCAAAGCCCUUGGUUUUCUCCUCACUCGGGCUGAUUUCAGACAUUUUUGUGAAUUAAUAUCCUCGAGAAAUGAUAUAAUGUCAACUGAAAGCAAGCAUUCUUUGUCCCAGUAAGGCCGUGCACAUUCAUUUUUGGGGGAGGUGAGGCAAAUGUUAUUUGGUAUCUGUGCUGGGGGGAAACAGUUCCCUCCUAGAUGUUGAGGAAUGUAGUGUGUGCCGGAGGUCCAGAGCCCUGAGACUAGGUUUCUUUUUGUGUUGUGUAAAAUACACAGAAGCCACAGAUAACGUUGUAUGUGGAUGAAGAAGAUACCACUCACUGAAAAUAUGGUGACUAAUUUCUGUCAUGGCAGCACUCAGGAAGCUGAAGCAGGAGACUUGAGUUCUAGCCUUGCUUGAGCUAUAUAGUGAGACCAUGUCUUAAAAAAAAAAACAUAGUGGGGAGAGAGGAAAGAAGGGGUCCAGAUGAUAGACAAAUCCUGAAGUGCCUCAGUACCCUGGGAAACUGUGUUCGUUGAGCUGUCUUCCAAAAGAUUAGAACUGUAUGGUUGCCCUCAGCCUCUGACUUCUUCCUUCAGCCUUCAUCAGGCAUCAGCUGCCUUUUUGUCUCAGUCUAAUCACCAUGGCUCUCUUGUCUGUGCAGCACAGGGAGCAUUCAGGUCAGGUCUUUGCUAAGUCACUAAGUAUGUGCUUGUUAAUUUGAAUCCUAAGUCUCUUCUGGGUGUAUGGUUUCUUCAGGGAAUAGACAAGCCCAGUUGGGGAGAAGUUACCCAGUGUUAGAUUCUCUGUGUGCUGUGUGCUCUAUGAGGCUGAGGCAGGCCAGCGGUGUUGUUCCAUGUGUUAAACUUCAGGAUUUAGAACAUGUUUGUUUGGGAAGUGGUGGCUAAGGUGAGCAAGAGUAUGCAAUUCCCUCCUCUUUGGCCUAACAUUGCUGCUUGGGACUAUUCUAAAUAUAGGAGCAGUCAUUGGCUGAAAGUGUCAAAAUCUGCACAGGGGUGAGUGGAUGUGUGGUCAGAGGUUAUGGCAUGGGGAAAUAGGUAAGGGAGAAUGGGUUCUAUGCUAUUUUUGUGUUCACGCCCAUGUCCUCAGUUUACUUGUCUGUGAAACAGGUUUUGAAUGAGGACCCUGUUGGAGGUUCCAACUCAUCUUACCUCUAGGCCCAUCCUGGAUGUUUGUGGAAAUUUUGCUUAGCUAGAAACUCAAGGCCAGGAAAGUGAACCCAAGUUGCCGAGAGAGAAAGGAGGGAUCAGGAAGACCUAAGAGCAACCAAAUUUUGUUCCAAAGAGGCACCCUAGUGUUAGUGUGAAUGAUGGUGAUGGGCUUUCGGUAGAUAGUAGGAAUGGGUUUUUGAAUGAGUGGCAGUGAAGAGAACGGGUUAACAGAGUAAAAGUAGUUGAUGAGAACCUACCAGGUGACAGGAUAGGACACUGCUCCCUCUGGGAGACAAGUGGGAGAUGUGCUUAUGAGAGUUGGCUGUGGUGUAGGACUUGGCAGAGUUCUGGAUCUCUGAGGCCUUCCCUUCUUAUUUGCACAUUGGAGAGGAGAAGGAAAACUAAGAAUAUCUUUAUUCUCCUGCCCUCUGUUUCUCUUACUGCUUGGAGCUCUUGAGAGAGCUGGCUUGCACUUGGCUAAAAUACUAGGCAUUCCCCAUAUUCCUGAAAAGAUUUCUUGUUAAGCCAUUUUGAUACCUUCAUGGAAUUUUUCCUCUGAAUCUGGGCAUGUUUCUACUAUAUGUUGCUCACUGAGGGAGGAAGUUUCAUUAUGGCAACCUUGAGAUUUUCCCAUUCUGUUUGUGAAGGAUGCCUGGAGCUUUCCCAGUGUGUGUGUUGUGUCUGUGUUACUUGUUUGCUGGCUAACAUAUACCACCCAUAAUGUGCUGCAUAGUUAGAUGCUAGGAAUACUGUCAUCAGCUCAGAAACCUUGCCUCAUGAUCAGUGUGGAAAAAUAGGCCUCCCUUUUAUAGGAAAAGCAUGUCCCAAAAACAGUUCUUAUUCUUUUAAGGUGUGCUGAGGCUGAAUAUUGGGCUGUAUGACCUCUUGGUUAUUCAGCCUCUAUGUGACCUUUAUUUUAAUAGACCCAAGGCUCUGAUGAAGGGCUAGACAAGUGCUUACCUUCACUUAUCGUGAACUUAGGCAUGAAGGGUUAGACUUUGGGAGUGUUACCUUCAGAACAAUUGAGGUUGCACAGGGCCAGCAAACAUCUGUGUCUGUUUAUAAGUGCCGGUCCCUCUAUGUUCUCUGAAUGCAACUGCAACUCUAUUUUGAAUGGGAGGGCACAUGGAAGCACUUUUGGUAGAAGAGGCCUUUUAGCAUCCUUCUAUGAAUCUGCCCUGUAAUAGACCUGGUUCUUUCUAGUUACCUGGAGAAUGGAAAAGAAGGUGGAUCCAACCCAAAGCUAUGAGGUAAAUUCAUGUAAAUGUCAUGAAAGGCCUGUGUGAAACUUUGCUGAGUUCUAAAGGACGACAGAACCUCCAAAGGAAAACACAUUGGCUGCUCUUAUAAUGUCUGCCUGGGCAUGAGGCUAUGGGACUUUGAGAUGACCCCUGAAACAGUGUGCGGCCAAGGUAGCAGUAUAUAAAGUGGCUCCUUGGUUCUACCUUUAAUCAACUCUGGCUGCCUUUGUGCAUCCUUAGGCUAGGAGAGUAGAGGAGACAAUGUAGGUGUAGAAUCUGUGCAGAGAGAAUUUCUGCCACUGAACCUGUGGGAACUGUUCUUAAUUCUCAUAUAAAAAGUAGAGAAAGUAUAUGCUGUCUUUCAUAUCUUCCAGGGAAGAUCUGUUCUAUUCCUGUUACUACUCCUACCCUGAGCCAUUACUCCCAGUGAUGGGGACUCUUGACAGUCAUUGUGGUUGGAGGAAAGGUAAUAGAGAAAGUAAGAUCAGACAAGAUUUUCUAAGAAGAAGGUCUAAGAGUUUCAGAGUAGACUCAUAGCUCUGCGAUUCACGGGCAUUGUUUUUGGUGCUAAAAGCUUAGGUGUGUGUUCAAGUGGACAUAUUACUUAGAGGAAAUCCAGAGUGUGAAAUAAUUAGUUAAUGGCUCAAUGAAAGUUGUAUUAAGUAUGGAAAAUCCUGUGUGUUUUUGAACUAAUACUAGCUGUAGACUUAGUAUCAGAAGGCUUGAUAAGACAGGCCUGUCUUAAGCUCACACUAUUGACUUUCUUUUGCCUUUAUUUUCUGUUUCCCACUCUCUUACAUUCCUUAACCAUUUCUGAAUCCGUCAUUUCAAUCUAUGGAGGAUUGGAUCCUUAGAUGCUGAAGUCCUUCUAUGAAAUGAGAUUUUCAUUUAAUUUACACAUAUCCUCUUUAAAGCAUGAACUUUAAACCAUGCGCAGAUUUCUUGUAAUACCUAACUCCAAGCAAAUGAUGUCAAAUAAUUGUUUUAAGAAUUCUUUAGAGGAUAGUGGCCAAAAGGGAUGCAUAUAAAGAUGUAAUUCAUAUUUAUAUAUAUACAUGUUCGUGCACAAUGACUGGAGUACAGGGAGGCAGAACCUGGGGAUAUGGAGGGCUGACUAUAGUCUGCUCAGUUACAUUGCUUCAUUCUUGAAGUACAGGUCCUCUGGUAUCAGUGAAUGAGUGACUUUGAUUUGGACUAUAAACAGACUGCCCACUGCAGGGUCCUUUCUGUCUCUGGGGUUUAGCUGCCUAUUAACCCUGGCAGAGGUCAGUUUGCCCUAUUGUAGGUACUAAUUUGGGGUUGUGGUUGUUUAGGUAUGCAAAUCCUAAACCUGAUUAGCUGUUAUUUCAUUUCAGCUCAAAUCCGGAUGGCCUUGGACAUGUAAGACCACAUGCCAUUUCUGCUAGGUGAGAAAGGCCAGCGAGGAUAGGCACAGAGAGGGAGGGGACACUGCCUCUGACCACUGGCUGUUCUCCAAAACAGGUGAACUUUGUGUUCAAAAGGAAUGUGUUUAAUCUUUUGGGCCUAAAAGAAGUUACUUGUAUUUUCUCUACUUUUUGCCCCUCCUUUCUCCUCACCCCCACCCUUGUUGCCUCCCCAGCCACCAAAGAAUUUAAUCUGCUGGACAACAAACAAUACAGUUAUAAAACUUUGAAAGCAAGAGGGUGUGGCCUCCCCAAUGAGGAAAAGGGCAUGCUGGGUGAUGACCCUAGGGAACAUGCCAGGCUUGAGAUUGAGCCUGUGAGAGCCCAGUUGGCUGGGUACCUGAGCGCCUGCCCUGCCCAGUGCUAAGCUGUCCCCAGCCUAGAAGGGGACAGAAAAAGGGCUUGUAAAGGGGGAAGUUGUGUGUGUUCCUCUCUGAUCUGGUGGGAAUGCACUAGGCUGUGAAACUUCCUCCUCUGCCUCUUCUCCCCUCCCCCCUCUCCUCCCUUCUCCUUCACCACCUCCUCCUCCUCACUGUUCUUGAGACUAGCAGGCAGAAGUUAUAACAGAGAAGGGUUAGAAUAGCAGUAUAGGUGCUGCCACUAGCUUGGCCUGCCAAAGGUGAAACAGGGUUUGGGGUUUGUGUUGCCUACAGACUCAGACUUAUCUCUUCAAAGCCCAGUCUACCUCCCUAACUCCCAACAGUGCAGUCACAUAUAUGUUGCAGCAUGUGCUCCAUUUUGUGUGCCGCCAGGUGUGUGCCCAGGUACUGGGCAGAACUACCACUAGGAGAUCAGUGGGUCCACCCUGGCUUCCUGGGGCCUGCCUAGGGCUGUGCUGAGGAGAAUGGCUAACUGAAAUGCUUUCUUCUGUAACUGUUUUGCCCUCCACAGGAGGAGAAAGGCUUGUUGCAGAAAACUCCUGGGAAUCAAGUGAGUAGGCACAUGGUCCCCUGAGUGUGGCAACAGAUAGGAUGCUGUGUCUGUACCUUCCCUUGCUUCCUGUCAGUAGGAAGAGUUGACCAACCCUGGCGGGAUGAGAUAAGGAAGUUAGACUUGGGUUUCUCUGCCCUGACCUGAUUAAGGCGGUAUCCUUAUCGAAUCCUUCUCCACUGAGCCAUAUGGACCAUUUGGGAGUGUUAAGGGAGUGGACUGUGUAGGUUUGGGGCCAUGAACUUUGUGGUAGGCAUUGGGAGACCACAGCCAGGCUUACCUUUCCUCUUAUGGCAAGCUUCAGUUUCCAUGAAAGUACUUCUGGGCUGUGUUUCUCCUCCCUGUGAAAGCAGAGCUCUCUCUGCUACGGAGAGGGCACAUUGCACUCUAGCCUUCACUUUGUACCCAGAAGGCAGCCGUAGUACCGUGAUAGUCUAGAUACUGUGCCAGGACCUUAGUGACCUGUAUGGAAUUAUACUGAGUUUGGGAACUUUUGAGACCCAAGACUUGCUCAGUAGCAUGGAGGAAAGGACAGAAAACCUAGUUUUUGGAAUGUGCUUGCCCAGGAACAUAGGUCUCCAUAUCUCUAAUUCAGUGAAGUCAAGAGAGCCAGUACUGGCCCCCACAGGCUUCUGAAGCCUUUGCUUUUCCCUUGAUUACCCAAGCAGGCACUUGCAGGACACACUGGGUCUCAAGAAUGUUAUGCCCACUUUGGGAAUCAGUGGUCACUGAUGUUAGGUCAACAAGCUCCAAAUUUCCCUUUAUCCGUGUAUUCUCAACAUAUAUCCCUCGUUUUAUUACCCUUUCCUCUGAUUCAUUAACCACAGCUUGUUGGCAGCAUUCCCUACCUACCCUGACAGCCAAAGACAAAAUGUCCUGGAUGCUGGGGCUGGGCUACUGCUGAGAGUGACAGGAAGCCAGGCAGCCUGUUCAGUUCACAUAUGCAGUCUCUCUUGGAGGUAAGAUGUUCCCUUUUCUUUGAAAAAGACCUUCCCUAGCUUCCCCUCCCAAAGAUGAGUUCUUCUAACUGGUGGGAACCCUCAAAUCAGUCUUCAGAGGCAGGCAAGAAAAUGGAUGGCAGGCUUCUGGCACCCUCCCCCACUUUGGCAGGAACUCUCAUGCAUACAACUGUGACUCAGCACUCAGUGCUGGGUCAGGAGCAAGAAGCUAUUGCCUGGCUGGAACCUUCCCACGUUCUGCAUGUGAGCACAUCAGACAGCAGAGCUGGGCCAGCAGGGUGAGAUUCCUAGGGCAAGUAUUUUUCCUCCUCCCACUCAUUUUCUUCCCACAUUCUGUGGGGUUCUGUUCUGGGCUCAUGAUAUUUAGGAUUCUAAAAAUCUUAGUGGUCAUAGACUAUAGAAGAAGUAGUCUUUUUAAUCUUUGUUUUUAGCCAGUGGCCCAUGAAGCACGUUUAACCUUUGGUUGUGCUGUCUGGCCUGCAUGGGUUGGUUUUUCAGUGUGUUAAUUUUGUAUAUCUGUAGACAGAAUAUUAUUUUUUUUCAGAUUACUGUACCUCUGUUGCAUGCUGUUGCUGCCUCUGGCUAUUUCCUUCCUAAGUAGUCUGGGUGUGUGUGUGUGUGUGUGUGUGUGUGUGUAGAGAGAGAGAGAGAGAGACAGACAGACAGACAGACAGACAGACAGACAGACAGACAGUUUUCCCUAGCUUACUGUUUACUGAUGAAUACACUAAAGCCAUUCUCGAUGAUGGCAGGGCCCUCUUCUCAACGUGUAGGCAAGCAGGUGUUCUGGUUUAACAGGAAGUGACCCCUGCCUCCACCCCUCCGGCCCCUGCCUUGCCGGAGAAGUAUCCCGUCAUGGGUGGGUAGAAUGGCCUCCAGGAAAAAAAAAAAAAAAACAGGUCCAGGAACAGAUGGAGGCUGAAGAGUGGUGUCUCAGACAUCUUCCCUGCUCAGUGACCUUUUCCGUACUGCUAAGUGACGCAGGGUGGUUUCUUUGCUAGACAACCCCAUCAAACCCUGUAGCUUGAAGUUUACUUAAGUCAUUUACUUGAGGAGGGGGAAAUCCCAUUAUUCUGAGAUCAGAUCCCUAGCGGCCCAAGGUUUUCAUGGGCUGCUGCCAUAGACAUCCAGAAAGCUAGAGCCUUCCAGACUUUAUCAAAUCAUCCAGCUAUUCCAAACAAGUAAAGGGUCACCACCUUGUUUCAGAAAAGGGACAUUGCUCAGCUGACUAUGGGACCGCUUUUAUGGGAUGCUGAGGCCUGGGUGGAGUUGGAUGACAAAGGGUCUGAAUGGGCUAGGACUGCUUCUUUCCCUCUUCUGUAGCUUAGUGUUUAAAUCACCAUACUGUCAGUGGUUCUUAUCCACCAGAAAACAGGGUUUGCAGUGGAACCCUAGACCUUACCUUUUCCUUCACCAGUAGUUUUCCUUUGCUAAGCAUAGCCUAAGCCUGGGCAGCAUUUCACUUGCUGUGUAGGAAAAAAGGCAUUAGCUUCAUGCCAUGCUGAGGUCCAAAAGAAAUAGGUGUUUUCUAAAUGAUAGCAAACUGGGCUAACCUUGGAGAAAGCUUUCUAGAGCUGAGAUAGGACAAGUAGGGAUGGCAGUUGAGGGAGUAGGUGGAAAGUUGCCAAAGGGAGGUAACAGCACAAACCGAGACUUCUGGGUGGAAGGGUGUGCCCUGGAUCCCUGCAGGAUAUCUAUCCUUAACAUAGAGAAAGGGUAGUGGGAGGAGACUAAGGAUACUAGCAAUAGGAAGUUGCUAAGAAAAUUUGACUGAAAUGAAAAUCAGAAAAGAUGAGUAUUAUCACAAUCAAACCUCAUCUGUCCUCUUCAUUUACAGGGUUUUGACCCUUGUUAAUAACUGCCAUCUAAUAUAUUUACGACCUGUCUAGUUCACAAGACCCUAAUUUUGGCAACCAGUGUCACUGUCACUCAGGAACUCAGUGUAUAUAGAUUUGCCUGCACUUCUGUGUAGUUGAGACCCUGGAGAGCCCCAGGGAGGCUGCUGAGCCUUCUGUUUCUCCUCUAACUGGUUCAGUUUUUUAGAAGCUAAGCCUGUCAGUGUCAUUGGUAGACUUCAUUGCCAUCGUCUUCCCUAUUGCUGGGGAGGACAGAGGCACUAGUGGGGCAGUAGAGCAAAAGCAGGUUCUCCUGGAUUACCUGACCCCUUGCAGUACCAACACCAUGUGCCCUCAUCUUUACCCAGGUAUAGCAUGUGUUACAGUGAGUCUCUUCCACUCCCCCUCAGAUUUCCUGAGCUAAAUACCCCUCCCCAGUCUAGGAAGAGUUCAGUUCAAAAGGAAGGAAAUCACAGUCAGGCUGUACAAGACCAAGACAGGAAUAAAGACACUAGUUCACCUGGUCCUAUGACUAGUUUCUUAUACAAACAUUGGAACAAUAACUGCUUCUUUGAACUCUCAGAACAGCUAAGUAUUGCGACACUGGAUGUUCACAUUAUAGUUGCUCUAUUACCCUGUAGCAGCCAGGAGCCAUAAAAAGAGAUAAGCUUAUAUCUCAAGGUCAAAAAGUUGCUGAGGAACCAGAAACAUACAGCUCUAUUCUUUUGUCUCCUUUCUCUGGGUUGUGACAUUGGAGGAAACUCACAACAGUUUGUGAAUCUUAUUUUCAGAUAAAUUUUAAAAAUAUACCCCUUUUUUGUGUUACAGGAUUAUCUAUGUAAUACAAAUAAGAUACCAGCUUUUAGUUACUCUGGGUUAAAUCAAAUUGCCAGUCAUGGGAUGGGAAGAUCAUGUGCUCUUUUUGAAUAAUACUUGUGGAAGAGUUGUCCUGACACAGAUGACACACUUGUAUUCAGUGGUUAACAUCUCAUAGGUCACUGUCCUGAAGAAGUGACAUGUCACUAUGUAUGACAGACACUAUGCAUCUUGGGAAAUACUAAGUUCAAGACAUUACAAAUGUACAUAUGUAGAAUGAACUUGGUUCUUUUGUUUCGUUGUGUAUAAUGUAUAAUGACUAAUGUGAAGUCAUACAGGGAACGAGUUUUGCAUUGGUCUUGUCUGCUCAAAAUGUUGCCUGUGACUCUGAUGCUGUGCUGAGCAGCAUUGCAUGGCUGUCCUCUGCCUCUGACAGGCAAGAUGAUUCUCAGAGGUGAGGCUGGAUCUUCUGACUGAACUUCUGCUUUCUUCAGCGAGAUGAUCUUCUUCUGGAAGCUGGUUUCACAUGGUGGCUUAGAUUUUUCCAUCUUUGUAUCUAGCACCAUUUGAAAUCAGUGUUUUAGGAGUAAGAAUUGCAGCACAGCAGAGGUUAGACUACAGAGAAGCUACUGUACACAGGACUGGCUCUCUCCUUCAAGAAGUCAAGGGAAGACAUGGACAGUUGAAAUUUGCUCUUGGGUCUGUUUGUUUUAGAGGCAGCGAUAGCGGGAAAGUAUGUUGUGUUCAAAAUAAAUACAAGGGCAUGAUCAGGGCGGGAAGUGAUCUACUUUAUCCAGCAUUCCAUGGGAGUGGGAGAGUGGCUUAGGCCUGGCCCUGUUUAUUGUCCAGUGAUGUUCUGGGUGUUGAUUGUAGCAGAGACAGGGGCAGUGUUCUGCACAUGGAGGACGGCUUCACCCACAUCAGUACUGCCUGCCUGUACCUGGAAGAUGCCUGAAGCACUCAGUCGUGGUUGCAACACAGCUUGUCACUUGUCUGCCUUGAGGUUCAGACCUGAAGACCACCACUGGCCCAUCUCUUACACAGGCUGACCGAUUUCUCCUGGUGUUCAGAGUCUGUUUUUGUCUAGCACCAUUUGAAAUCGGUUAUGAUGUAGGGGGAAAAGCACCAGCCUCAGAGCCUCGUGGUGUGUGGCCAGCAGCAGCCUGUCGUUUCCUACACAGGCAGAGAAGGAAGAUCACAGUUUCCUAACUUCUUUAAUGCAUGUGCAUGUGGUAGCAGAAGUUAGAGAUAACUUAAUGGGGUUUUAUAAUUAAGUUGUUGUAAUUUAUCUGAUAUCCUCGGUUGUAGUUUCUUACAUAUACUACCGUUACAAAUUGUAUAAACCAUUUGGUGCUGAACCGUGUUUCUGUUAAGAGUAUGUUCAUGCAUCCUGGCUUUAAUAAAUAAUUUGCUAUAUUCAA